GCGGUACGCUUCGUAGAGAGCUGCGGAGGAUCAUUC
rnacentral:rRNA from 1 species